ensembl:lncRNA
CACACGCAUCCAAGUGUCCUUGGACCUGGUUGACGUUUCAUGUUGUCAGUUUCAGAAGCUUUUCUUCGACGGUUUUGACAAUUUGGGCAAAUUGUGUUUAACUUCAAUAGCUGUGAAGCCGAUUUAAUGUCAAGACAACCAGUCAUUCAUGUUCAAUACAAUGGCCGGUGAACACAUUGGGAAUAGUAACAUUGGUGUUAACCUCCUGCAUUCUUUGCUCCUGUGCUGUGCCCUAUCUCUGCAUCUAUCCAUCUCUCUCACCUCGAAUGGCGCCGGUCUGUAUUCCACUGCUUUGCUCAGCCCUUGCAUUUACUAAAAAAUUAAACCCUUCAAUUGUAAAAUGCCUCAACUCCACCCCCGUGCAGAGGAAACAAUCCAACCCCUUAUCUCCCUGGAUUUAAUUCAAUUGCCAGCCACAGAGGGCAUUAGGCCGCUUUGUACCGUGCAGCCAGCCAACAUAAACUCUCUCUGGCCUGAUGGGAUUGAUCCAGAGUUCCUCGGUAGCCAGUCACACUGGCCCCGGCGUGGCUGGCUACCCAGCUAACACCGUACGCGCACAGCCUCAUGUCUGGGAUACCUGAGGUCCUAGUGGAAGGAUGAGAGCCUGAAGGUUGCUCCCUAGGCUAGCUGUAGCUCCGAAGGUUAGUUGUAGCGCCCUAGGGUAGCUGUAGCGCCCUAGGGUAGCUGUAGCUCCGUAGGCCAGCUGUAGCGCCCUAGGGUAGCUGUAGCUCCGUAGGCCAGCUGUAGCUCCGUGGGCUAGCUGUAGCGCCCUAGGCUAGCUCUAGCUCCGUGGGCUAGCUGUAGCUCCGUGGGCUAGCUGUAGCUCCGUGGGCUAGCUGUAGCGCCCUAGGCCAGCUGUAGCGCCCUAGGCUAGCUGUAGCGCCCUAGGCUAGGAUGGAUACAGAGAGGAUCACAGAGGGACAUAGGGGCUGGUAAAUGUGUUUUUAAUG